rnacentral:rRNA from 1 species
GACGUAGGGCGCGAGCGUUGUCCGGAUUUAUUGGGCGUAAAGAGCUCGUAGGCGGCUUGUUGCGUCGGCUGUGAAAAACCCGCGGCUUAACCGUGGGCUUGCAGCCGAUACGGGCAGGCUAGAGUUCGGUAGGGGGAGACUGGAGUUCCUGGUGUAGCGGUGGAAUGCGCAGAUAUCAGGAGGAACACCGGUGGCGAAGGCGGGGUCUCUGGGCAGUAACUGACGCUGAGGAGCGAAAGCGUGGGGGAGCGAACAGG